AUUCUUUCAUUAACAUUACUAGAGUUGAAUUCUGGAAUGAAUCUGGACUGGUGGGAGUGGACAUUGAUCUUCUGUUCAAGUAUCCUGAACCAUCCCUGUGUCAGGUGAUCUCCACUCUGUAUUCCCUGGCAUUAGUUCCAUCCUUUUUCACUUUUCCCUUGGAUCCCAAGUCCAUACGGGACCGCAGACUAACAACUACAGAAGCUGCAACUACA